CUUGGAAUCUUGUCUGUCUAACUGGGAUUGGACGACCAAGGUCAUAUCCCCUUACCCCAGCCUAAGCCGCGGUGGUGCACAUGCAUCCCAUGGCGGUGCGCGCCGGUGAGCAGGCGAACUGCCCACCCCGGUGCCCGAUUUUGAACGAGGAUGGGUCCUACGCAUGGAGGCGACCUAAGUGAAUGUAGCAGAGGUCUACUUACCACGAAUUACAGAGAUAGUUCUUCCCAUGGUGUGGUGCGGUACAUUGGUGGGUUUGACAUUCUGGCGAGCAAUCUUGGUGACUCCAAGGGGCUUCACUCACGGAGCAGAAACGGAACGGUGACACCAGUUUCCUUCCCUUCUAUUUGGCGUUCAAAAGGAGUUUAGGGGCGUGUUCGGUUGGCUGCAAGCCGACACUGUUGCAGCUGUUUGGACUGCUGCAGCUGCAAUCCAUAGAGAGAAAAAUACUGUAGAAGCCGCAGCCGCAGCCGGAUUGCAGCCGCAGCAAGCCGCAGCGAACAAGCUGUAGGUUUCUUGUGUCUUGCGGUCUGAAAUGGAGCUUCCGUCAGAAAAAUCAAUAUGCUGUCAUGACGAGACGAGACUUGAACAGCUCCUCUCCAGGCUGGCCCAAAACAAGUUCAGCCUGGCCCAUACGAAGGUUUCGGCAGCCUGGGCUUUGUCUGACGAAAGCUUUCGGUGCAUCUGGAGCAGUUACUCAUGGAUUUGUGGCUCUGCGAUGCAUCGCCAGCCUUCCUCCAUAUUGCUGGCCAUCGCCGACCGACCUCUACACCAUGGCAGCCAAGCUCCUUCACCCUGGUUCUCCUCCUCGCCGGUCGAUCUCCGGAGCGUAGUGGUGGCUGAGGGCCUCCGCGCCACUGCAUCUGACUGCCUCCGCGUUGUGGCUCCUCCACGGCCAGAUCUCCGCGUCGCCGUAGCCAAGGUCGUCCGUGCUGGUCUUCUUCCUCUCCGGCGGAGCUCCGCAGUGAUAGCAAAGGGUCUCCGCUCCUCCGUGCUGGUCUUCCUCCCUGGUCGAGCUUCGGCGUGCAGUGGCAGCCGAGGUCCUCCACGCUGAUGGUCAUCCCAUGGCGACCUGUUGCUUGUUGUCGCAGCCGAGCUCCAUCUAUGGCGUGUUCGUUGGAGACGAGGACAACCCAUGCGACAGCUACUCCCCGACUGUGUCACUCGCUUCGCUCGGAUGGAUAGCGGAUGAACAGAGAACUCUAGAUUUACCGGAUGUCGUGCUUUCUCUAUAUUUUAGUGGACGGUUUAGCGCUCCUUGCGCGACCCGUAACAGACGUUUGUGUCCGCUACAUUUACCGGAGGCUUUACCGGCCUUUGCUGGAGAUAACCUUAGAAUGGAAAAGCCAUGUCUCG
rnacentral:misc_RNA from 1 species